CCUUCCCCUUCUCCUCCUCAUGGAGGCCUUUAGCAUUCAUCCUCUUGGCACCAGUUCCUCCAAGAGUCACCCUAGCUCUGGAGCUAGGGGCAGUCCUGCCUCAUCCUGGGGCCUCAGAGGAUGGACCCUCUCUCCCCCCGAGCUCUGGGAGCUCUGCCAGCCCUUGUGAGCCCUGCCUGCUCCCAGCACAUCUCGCUGUCAUGUGCACCCUGUGCUCACAGAAUCUCUUCCGUGGUUUCCCUGGAGAGUGCUGAUUCAGAUCCUCGUUGACCUGGUGUUUCUCAAGCUGAUCAUACGCCUGUCUCAUGUCCAGCGUCAGAGCUGUGACGCCACUUCCACUCAGAGGCCAGGAUGUCAGGAGAUGUGUCCUGAUGCCCUGCCAGCCCUGCCCCAGGCUCCCAGUCCCCGCCCAGCUGGUGCCUGGGAUGUGGUAACGGUGACACUCCAUACUGUGCUGUCAGAAGCAUGUUCUCAGGAGACGUGUGACAGUUUGUCCCUCAUCCACCCUGUACUGGCAGUAAGGGCCAAAGCCCCUAUGCCAGGAGGCAGACAGGGGCAUAGGGAACAGCACAGACCUUGAGCUGACAUCUAGCUGCAGUGCCGAGGGCAGAUGUGCUCUCUGGAGUCGGAUGUGCUGGACUGACGGAUGGCCAGGAACACCAGACUUUCCUUGGCGUGGGUCAGGGCAGCAGCAGACGCACCAGCAACAGCCGGGAGGGAAUGGAGCCAGCUGCCAGCCCAACGCCUGCAAAGAGCACCCCCUCUCCAGGCCUGCAGAGAUGGGCUCCUUGCACUGAGCCAGACCAGCCGAAAAGACAAACUGAAGACCUCCUUGGUGUGGGGAAGCAUGGAGCUGUCACCUCUGGAGGGAGAGCAGCAGUUGUCAGCACCAGGACCUCUCUGACACACAGGAACAGCCUGUGAAUGGCUGGACAGGGACAUUCUGGGACAAGCUAGGGAUAAAAAGCAGGAAUUGCUUCAGUGAGGAGUGACUGAGCCUGCUGGGAACGCCUGCCUGCCAGUGCUGACUGUGCCUGACUUCCUCCCUAGCAAGCGUAUCCAGUGGCAGUGUGCAAGCCAUCCAUCAUCUGACAGAGGAGCUGGGCAGAGCUCUCCAUCUCCAUGUGCCUCUGUCUAUGCUCCAUAUACUUCGCUGUAUUGUGUGAUCCCAGCUGAGCCCCUCCUCCUGAGUUAAGGAAGACAAGCACCUAAGGGUCAAGGGACACUGGAAGAAAGAAGGUUCAUUCGCUUUUGCAUCCAUAACUUCCAUAGGCAUUAGGAGAGAAUGGUGAACUAUAUGCACCCAAAACCAUAUAUCCUUGCUCAUAUCAUGAGCUGCAGGUCCCUCACCAUCACUCCCCUAAUCCCUGAGCUCCCCUUUCUCUUAUUGCAGCAUUUGCUGCCCAUCUUUUGAUUUUGGCACCAAAGAAGGGCAUAAAGAUGACCAUCUUCAUUUCUUCACAGCCUGACAUCCCCCUAGAGCUUUGUCCAUCCUGUGUGAUGAAUCUGGUCUGUGAAAAACAGACUGUGUGGCUAGUCUCACUUCAAGUUUUAUCUUACUGCAUGGAAAUGCUGCUUGGAAAUGUUUUUUUGAAGCUGAAUGCAAUCUUUCAGUCUAAUGGUUGCAGUGCUUCAUUUUGCAUGUUUGAAGUUCCUUCUAAUGGGUUUUUUAAACGUAAUCACUUAAUUUUUAUCAGAAGAAGUGAAAAGAAAUUCCACCGUAUGGAGGCAUUUGGGACCCCAGAUUCCCUGUCUCCACUCAUGACAUCGAGAGCCAAAUGGCAUGACAAAAUGGCCUUGUCUUCUCUGCGUAAAACAGACAUCAGAAGGCAAAAAAAUCCUGGCCAUUCCCCCAGCUUCUGCAGGGAAACGUGUCCUGUAACUGUCCUUGCCUCUUCCCCAGUUCUCUUACCGCAGUCAUGCCUUGCUCUUGCCAUGCAGAGAGACAAGGGAGGAGGUGGAACUUCUCUCAUAGUAGGGAUUCAAGGCUUGGCUGGAAAAGUCACAGCUGACCUGUGGUCACUUGGCUCGUGACAGGCCUUCUUCAAGCAGGAGGCUGAACUAGAGAUGCCAGAGGCCCUCACAACCCACGGCUCUGUGUUCCUGUGACCGCUGUUCCCAGCUGUUCAUUGCAUGUGUGACAGCCACCCCAAGAACUGCAAUGUGAGGGAGAGUCCAAGACAGAGCCUGUGCAACUGUUCUGGAAGACAGUCCUGCUGAGGAGCUGUGAGAGUACACCACCAGGCCUGGGGCAGCAGAGCUGUCAGCUGCCAGCAAAAAUCACACCCUGAAUAUAUGAGAAUCAAAAUAAUUUUUCAGCAUCAUUGGCCAAAUUUCUGCAGAUUUUCCUGGGGACAGUAGAAGGCAAAAUUCCAAGUCCCCAUUCUACAAGCUGGAGGUGUGACAGCUUUCCACUGGAGUGACUGAUUUUUUUUUUAACAGAGGCCAAACAAAGUCAUUUUCUUUCAUUAGAGAUGCUGAUACAGCUGGAAAAAGUGAACUUGCUCUCUGAAAGCUUCUCAUCCAUUUUUCAACUAAUCUGCUGCUCUGAUGAAAGGCAUCGUUUCUCCCAACAGACUUGGGGUGUUUGGCUGUCUCAGCUUCAACACUUGUCCCCAUAGCUGUGCUCAGAAAUAACAACUGUUUUCCCUGAAACUUUGAAAGGAAAAGACCCAAGGAUAGAAAAUUUCAGCCCAAAAGAGUAAGGCUGGGCAAAAUACAGGCAAAUGGGAGCAGGGUUUUAUCACAGGACUUGGCAGACAGACUUAAAGGUGGUUCUUCUUGCCUGUCCUUUUUGUUUCUGUGCUUUAGAGAUCCUCCAUUCUCAGUUCCUUCUGGCCCCGUAUCAUUCCUGUGAGCCCUUCCCUGCUUCCCAACCCUCCUUCUUUCACCACUCUGUAUGGCUGUGCUCAGGUCAGUUCAUGUUUUGCUGGCAAAAGAAAUUACUUUGUCACCAAGGCAAAUGACCUUCUCUGGGCUUUCCUUGUCCCAAGGGCCAGCUUAAAUACUGGACCACACUCCUCCCAGCUGGGCUGUGCUGUCCUCUAGGACAAGAUCUCAGAUUGUUUAGUACUUAAAUUUUUCUUGUCUCUGGAGCUGUGAAUAUUCCAGAACUGCACAUCGUAGUGGCUUCACGUCUUGUGGGAAUAGAUGUUCUACCAAUCUCAUCCCACUCCCUCACCAUCUGAGAAGUAGCUGGAGUGCUUUGGCCAACUGGCUGGUGGUGCACAGCAGCUGCUGUCCAUUGCUGCACCAGAACGAUCCUAACACACCACAGCUGGUUGGUGGAAAUUAGAUGCUGGAAUCUUUUUGCUGGCUCUAGUCGCAGGCAACUAUUUCCAAAGCAAGCAUGUCUGUACUUUAGAAGAUGUCUCUUAGCUGCAUAUGAGGUUGCUUUCAUCAUGGAACAUGCUGGAAACCUGAUUCAACUCCUUUUCCCUCCUGUGACUUCUUGCACUCUGAUUUUGCCAGGGAGACAAGCCAGCCUGUUUCUGCAAGGCUUGAUGAGUUCUCCAGAAGGAGCCUUUUCACCUUCACAGGCUAUGCUGAGUGCUGUGCUCCUUUCUGCUGCGGGAGGGACUGUGCAGCGCUCCAAGGCCGUUGAAUCACCUCUCCAGGAAGUCCCCUUGGAGCUGAGGCCAAAGACAGAACAAAUCCAGCCCCAGAGGAAUAGCUGUGAAAUAAAAUUGGAUCUGAGUCA